AGUGGUGACAGUGGCAGCUGAAAUGACAAGUCCAGCAUGAAUCCCAAAUACAAUUAUUUAUUUAAGUUACUUCUAACUGGUGACUCUGGGGUUGGAAAGUCUUGCCUCCUUCUUAGGUGUGCAGAUGAUACAUAUACAGAAAGCUACAUAAGCGCAAUUGGUGUGGAUUUCAAAAGAAGAACUAUAGAGUUAGACAGGAAAACAAUCAAGCUUCAAAUAUGGGACACAGCAGGCCAGAAAGAGUUCCAACAGUCACCUCCAGUUAUCACAGAGGAGCCAUGGCAUCAUAGUUGUGUAUGAUGUGACAGAUCAGGAGUCCUUCAAUAACGUUAAACAGUGGCUGCAGGAAAUAGAAAAUGAAAUGAAAACGUCAAUAAAAACAUCAACAUAUUGUUGGUAGGGAACAAAUGUGAUCUAACCACAAGGAAAGUAAUAGACUACACAACAGCAAAGGAAUUUUCUGAUUCUCAUGGAAUUCCAUUUUGGGAACCAGCGCUAAGGAUGCAAUGAAUGUAGAACAGUCUUUCAUGAUGAUGGCAGCUGAGACUAAAAUGUGAACGGGUCCUGCAGCAACAGCGGAUGGUGCUGAGAAUCCAAUGUGAAAAUUCAGAGCACUAGGGUUAAGCAGUCAGGUGAAGGUUGCUGCUAA